ensembl:lncRNA
UCUCUCUGUUUCAGUUUUUUUGUGUCCUCUGCAAAAAAAAAAAAUCGUUGAUCUCCACCUGCUGUAUCAAGACCUCUUUGGAUCAAAACGACAGGACAAGAACACAAACGUUGCCUCCGGAGCACAUCCCGUCUGCACAACGCUCUGACUGUUGCAUAUUUCUUUCAUGAGGCAUGAAUUCUACCUCUGGUCCCCCUUCCUGUUAAGUAUCACCCCUCCUGGAUAUCCACCCCCUACCCCCACCACUACCCUCACCCCAUCAUGGGCCCCUCAGAGGACGUCAUGUUAAAGAUUAGAACAUUGUAGUUCAAAGAUGUAUUUGCAGUGUAUCUGGAUCAGCCAAGUACCCAUACGGUUGUGUAAUGUAUUUAUUUAUUUCUAGCAACAUCGUAUUGCUGCUACGGAUAUGACAACGGGCAAUGUUUUCAAUCCCGCCUCUGCUAAUCAGGAAUCUGUCUACAUGCGCAUUUACAGGACAACGUAUGCAUCUAUAAAUUGUUUCUUGUUAUGUAUAACACAAAUACAUAAUGAUAUGAAUUAUAAGCAAUUGUGAUAUUCAAAGCCCCAAACGUUACAUUACCAGAGACAUUUCCAUGUAUGGCGUGAUGUGUUUGUCAGUGUAGGACUUGGGUCAUUGGGUUAUAGGACUGGAUUAUAUAGAGAGAGAACCCACACAAAAUGUGCUGCUUUGAUAUCGAUUUAAAUUGUAAAAAAAGGAGAGGCGAUGACCGCGUUCCCCUGAUGAGGAUCAGGGGAGAGUUCCCAACGGCUUCAAAGGACGACCUUUCAUUCUCACGCUAUGCCGUGACCUUCUCUGGUACGCAGUGUUCAGAACCUCUCAAAGAGCAGGUAUACAAAAGGUGUUUUGUUUUUUUAUCUAUAAAGAAAAUUAACUAAAAUAAAUGUGUACAUCAAAACCUUAUAUGUAUAUGAGAAAGGGACAUAUAUGAGAAUAAUCGUUUUUUAAAGGAAACCAAUCGGCGCAUCAGAGCAAAAACCAGGCUAGAUGACCGAUGCUUUGGGAAACCGGUUUGGGUAGCUUUCAAAGAUUGAGAAAAAUAGUUUAUUCCAAAACAGAUCCCUGGCUGAGAGUGCGUUGUUCACACUCCAUGUUGUUCCUCAUGCUUCCUCCUCUUUCUCUCCAGACCUACCUUUUGUUUAGUUCCAAUUUUGCACAAUGAAAUCAUGCACCAUAAAAUGUACACAGACUCUCACACAAGUGCUAGUGGACAGAUACUUCACAUAGAAUUUGAUGUGCUUUAACACCCAUCUCACAUGGCACGUAUUCCCGGAAAUGUGUAUGUUGUAAUGCGUUAAAAAAUUCCCCAAAUCACUCCUGAAUCUUUGCCACAGUAUAUAAACAUUAUAUGUAUGAGAAAAGGCCUUAUUUAGUGCAGAUGUGAAAUGAAAAACGAAAUAAAGGGUUGCUGGCUACAGGCUAAAUGUAUGCUAAGGGCAAAUCGAAAAAAGAGUUCUCAACAAGGCGUCUGCACUGUUCAGUCUGCAUCUCACAUUUGAAACCAUGAAGCCAAGCAAUUAGGGAGUGUGUGGGGUCCAGAGAGAUACUAGAUUCCUCUGGAAUCAGGCACAGUAGACCCUGGCAGGGCUGCGUGCUAUGAGACCUGGUCUGAGAUCCAUUAUGAGUCUGGAAACGGAAAGGGGAAACGUUCUUUAUUUUGUGUUGUGUGUUUAUGGGAAAUGACUUCUCAAGACCCUUGGCUGAAACACAGAGGUUUAUAUGUUCUAAGUUUUGCCACAUGCAGAGGAACAGUGUUUUUCAAAUGAAUUACUGGAGAGUCGAGUGUGCGCAGCGUAAAUCAUGGGGAUUUAAACAUUUGAUCCUUUGUGAAACAUGACUGCGUUGUUGCUCUGCACCCUGUCCAAGCGGUUGGUUUUGUGCCUUAUUUGAAUGGUUAGAUUGGCUCCAUGUGGAACUGUCAAAGCCUCUCAAUGUUUCCUGGCGGUCCAAAACGGUAAAGGCCCUUGUAGUCUUUUCCCAUUGGAUUCUCCUCAAAACACUGCUGCACAUUGUAACAAUCACAGACAACAACCGCGGUAGAUGUCCACCACUUGCUAAACACAACCCUCUGCGUUUGGUGUCCUUGAUUUAUAAGAGCAACCCGUUUCCAGAUUAGUUAACUAUAUAUUUGAGAGAUCUGCCAUUGGGAACCGUUUUUAUUUUUCUGCUGGUAUACAUUUACUUUGCAAAAUUGAGUAGCCGUACAAAAAAAGCAAGGUAAUAAAAUAAUAAAUUGGUGUUCAGCACAAACACAUAUAGAACCCAUGAAUAUCACCAUGACUAUCUCUGAAAAUGCUUGGUGUAUGAAAAGUGUUGUUUGCUGUUUUUAAAAAAAAUGGAUUUCUUGAAUAACCUUCAGAACAAACCAACUGUCGCAAUGUAGGCUCAGAAUUGUCGUAUUUUUCCACAGAUUUGCGCCAAAAUAAGCCGUUCAUACAUUAUGGCUUCUAUCUUAAGAACUGGGCAGGUCAGGAUAGCCACACACUCAUGCGCACAUAUCAAACAAGAAACACAUACACACAAAACCAUCAACAGUUUUCUUUUUUGUCGUUGUUUCUACAUAAUCUGUUAAAGCGUAUGAACUGCAACAGGUUUAAACUAAGAAGAAGAAGAAGAAGAAGAAGAAGAAGAAGAAGAAGAAGAAGAAGAAGAAGAAGAAGAAGAAGAAGAAGAAGAGGAAGAAGGAGAAUAAGAAGACUAAACACAUCAGCUUCUCAAGGCUUUUGGAAUCUGUAGACAGUCUCCCAUGUCCGUCAAAGUCAGUGACAAUGUCCAUUAUGCGUGUCGGAGGAGUGGGAAUAACUGAGGCUGAUGCCCUGCGCUCACCAGGACGGCCCCCUGCUCUCUGACAGUGCACUCCAUGUUCUGAGAGACAAGGGAAGAGAGAGGUCAUCUGCAUUCUGAACAGUGCUUCUGAGCUGCAGUGACCGCAUACAUUGUACUUCACUGGGAGGUUUUGAAUGGCUCCAGGCAGAAAAUCAGUCUGGGUGCCAAAAAAAGAGAGAAACAAAAAAAAUAUGUAAUUAUUUCCUGGCUGAUAUGCUGGGGUGAAACUCUACUGCAUUGUGUAUUUUUGUAUAAAUUUAAACAAAACAUAUAUGAGUUGCAAAUAAAGUACAUGUAUUCAAC